UACAGAGGGUGCUAGCGUUAAUCGGAAUUACUGGGCGUAAAGGGCGCGUAGGUGGUUAAUUAAGUUGGAUGUGAAAUCCCUGGGCUUAACCUAGGAAUGGCAUACAAGACUGGAUAACUGGAGUACUGUAGAGGGUAGUGGAAUUUCCGGUGUAGCGGUGAAAUGCGUAGAGAUCGGAAGGAACACCAGUGGCGAAGGCGGCUACCUGGACAGAUACUGACACUGAGGCGCGAGAGCGUGGGGAGCAAACAGG
rnacentral:rRNA from 1 species